GCUGGCGGCAUGCUUAACACAUGCAAGUCGAACGGUAACAGGCAGAGCUUGCUCUGCGCUGACGAGUGGCGGACGGGUGAGUAACGCGUAGGAAUCUGCCUAGUAGUGGGGGACAACCCGGAGAAAUCCGGGCUAAUACCGCAUACGCCCUACGGGGGAAAGCGGGGGACCUUCGGGCCUCGCGCUAUUAGAUGAGCCUGCGUCG
rnacentral:rRNA from 1 species